AGGGCAACAGGAAGAAGGGGGGAGCAAGAUAACCUGUGUUCAGUGGAGAGCCUGAACUGUUGUUUGAUGAGACCUUGGGCCCUCUCGACCUUUCCUGAGGAUUGUGGGUGAUAGUGGAGCUUCCAGGAAAUAUUGAGAGCAUCCAGCACGAGCUCCACGACCCUGGAAGUGAAGGCUGGCCCAUUGUCCAUUUGUUAGGUCUGGGGCAGGCCAAAUCUAGGGAAGAUGUGGUCCAGGACUUGGGCCACCACAUCGGCUGUUUCCCUGGAGGUGGGGAAGGCUUCUAUCCAUCCUGUAAAGGUGUCGACCAGAGUUAGGAGAUAACGGAGUUUCUUUUGGGUGGGCAGGGCAUGUGAGUGAAAUCAGCCUAUCUGGUGCUGGGGCUGUCUUCAAGGGCAUCUGGAGAACCCCUGCAAAUCGGUCGUGGCACCUGUCUGGCAGGAGGAGUGAACCGUAAUUGGCUGGAACAAGGAGAUCUUGAGAGCUUCCCCUGUGAGUUCAGCCACUGCUGCUAGGGCUCUCAAGCAUGGCUGCUUCCCGACAGUGGGGGUGGGGUCCAGUUUUUUGAACAAAAAUGUGAUGACCCGGUUUGAAGGCUCAACCAGUUGGACCAGGACCUCGGAGGCCGUUCCUAACCUUUCAUCUGUAUAAAGGUGAUAAGGUGGAGAGGGGUUGGAAGAGCAAGGGUGGGGCCCUUAGAAAGGCAUCUCUCAGUAAAGAGAAGUGGGGCAGACCGUGGAUGGGUGGCUGAGGGCCCCCUUGGGAGUCUCUCUGGCUGCCUGGUAUAAGGACUUGGCCGUAAUGGCAAAGUUAGGGGUCUAGUGACGGAGUAAUCCCAUCAGGCCCAAAAAUGAGAGCCCAUCUGAACCACUGUGGUGGGGCUAUAAAUCCUGCAGGGCCUGGACUCCGUCAGAGGUGAGGGCCUUAGACCCCAGGCUGAAUUGAAAGCCCAGUGGGAGAGCAUAGCUGAAUCUUAAAUAGAGAAACAUAAUAUCCUAGAGAGCCACAGUAGUUGAGGAGCGAUGAGGUGGCCUGUUGGGACAGAGGCAGGGUGGAACAGCAGAUAAGGAGGUCUAUGUAUUGCAGGAGUGUGCUAGGACAGGGUCAAAGGUGGAGAAAUCCCGAGCCAGGGCUUGGCCAAAGAAAUGGGGGCUGUCCCGAAAACCCCAAGGGAGAACAGUCCAUGCUAGCUGUCUGAAGGACAGGGUGUCAGGGACCUCCAAGGUGAAGGCAAGGACCUCCCUUCUCCCUAUUGCUCUUACCCGCUUCCAGGUCACCCCACACCCUCCCACAGGCCUGAGCCCUUUUGAUCUCCUUCCUCCUCAAUCACCACCUCCCUGCCUAAAUUCCUCCACUGACUGAAUACCUUCCCUACCUCUUCCCUCUUAGUUUCCUUCUCCAUUCCCAGGCAGACAGGUAUCUCCCUGCCCCCACACCAACAGACCCAACUGCCUCAGAGCCUGCCCCAGUUUCCCCAGGGAACAGAGGACUCCUCAAACAACUAGCUUCUACGUCUGUUGAGCCCCGACGGACAGGACCCUAUGCUGUGAUCCUCACUACUCCUUCAGAUGCCAAGCUCCUGGGUCAUCCAUGCUGGUAUCAUCUCUCCAGGCUCAAGCGAGUGCCUACUCAGAUACUUGAUGUCCCUCCACCCUCCAGUUUCCCAAGAUGUCCCAGGGAAGGGCCUAUCUACUCGUCUGCCCUGAGCACUCAUUCAACUUUGUCAGUACAACUAGGGCAGGAAGCAGCCAGGAAUGAACUGGCGUCCCUAUACCCAAGGAGUCUGGGAUGUUCAGGUGGAAAUUCAUACAAUGAGUCUUCUGGAGUGUUCUGGUGGAAGCGCCACCUCAAUCCUCCUCUCCCACCUCUCUCCCCCCCAAACCAUAUUCUGAAAGCCCAGGAAACACAAACACAAUUCCUACUCCAGAGAUGCUCAAGACCACUCCUACAAGGUAUUUAAACUGCCCUCCAGAAGACAAGGUUUUUUGUUUGUUUUUUCCUCUCUCAUCCCUGUCUCCUCUCUGGAGGGCUGGCAAAUCAUCUGGAAGCAUUUUACUCAUUAAACCCAGGCCUUUUCUGAUUCA